UCCUGGGGAGAAGGGAAUAAACUUAAGGGAAGAGGGAGGAAUGCUUACUGGAUGUCUGAUUUGGAUUUUGAUCAUUGGUUCAGGGAAGGUGAGCUACGUGGACUGAUGCUGUUCAUUUCCAAAAAAUGCUUCUCAGACCAGAGUGUGGCUUUUUUUCUGAUUAUGGAGUUCCUGUGCCCAUCUUGUUCUUCUGGAUGUGGUCAUCAGCUGCAGAUGUGAAGGUGUAUGACCUAUCUUCUAGAAACAUCAGACUCAGCCUGGGAUGCUUUCUCAAUGGUUUGCCAAGUGAAACAACACGGUCCACUUCAUCUAUUCCUUCAAAUUGUCCCUGGAAAU